rnacentral:rRNA from 1 species
UACGUAGGUGGCGAGCGUUGUUCCGGAUUUACUGGGCGUAAGGAGCGCGCAGGCGGUCGUUCAAGUCGCGUGUGAAAGCCCCGGCUCAACUGGGGAGGUCACGCGAUACUGAUCGACUCGAAGGCAGGAGAGGGUAGUGGAAUUCCCGGUGUAGCGGUGAAAUGCGUAGAGAUCGGGAGGAACACCCGUGGCGAAGGCGGCCAUCUGGACCAGCACUGACGCUGAGGCACGAAAGCGUGGGGAGCAAACAGGG